rnacentral:tRNA from 2 species
GAGAGGUGUUUAGAACACUAAG